rnacentral:rRNA from 1 species
GUGGGGAAUCUUGCACAAUGGGCGACAGCCUGAUGCAGCAAUGCCGCGUGAGGGAAGACGGCCUUCGGGUUGUAAACCUCUUUCAGUUGGGAAGAAGGGUGGACGGUUAAUAGCCGACUCACUUGACGGUACCUUCAGAAGAAGCUCCGGCUAACUACGUGCCAGCAGCCGCGGUAAUACGUAGGGAGCAAGCGUUGUCCGGAAUCAUUGGGCGUAAAGCGCGUGUAGGCGGUUACAUAAGUCUGUUGUGAAAGUCGGAGGCUCAACCUUCGAAAGCCGAUGGAUACUGUGUGACUUGAGUACGGAAGAGGAGAGUGGAAUUCCUGGUGUAGCGGUGAAAUGCGCAGAUAUCAGGAGGAACACCAACGGCGAAGGCAGCUCUCUGGGACGUUACUGACGCUGAGACGCGAAAGCGUGGGGAGCAAACAGGAUUAGAAACCCCGGUAGUCC